UGGCUCAGUUGGUAGAACAUGGUGUUUGCAACGCCAGGGUUGUGGGUUCGAUUCCCAU
rnacentral:tRNA from 1 species